UAUUGAAUAUGUGUCUAUCAUACUUCUAUGUUAAAGUUUGGUUCAGGUUUACAGCAGUUCGAUCUAAAAUUCGUUCGGGUUAAGUCAAUUUUAGCCGGAUCGGUUUCGAGCAUGAUUCGAGUCAGAUAUGACUCGGGUCGAUCAUUAUUAGGUUCGGGUAAUCUCAGUUAACGGUUAUUUGUCGGUUACAAAAGUCGGUUACAGCUCGGGUUCAGCUUUUCCAUUUUCGAUUGUCAACCGGUUCGGGUACAAUUUCGUUUCGGAUACUGUCAGUUCGAUAAACCUAAAAAAGAACCACAUUUUCGGAUCGGUUUACUUUCGGUUUCGGUUCGGAUUUUCGAGUCGGGUCACUUUUAAACAGCUCUCUAUGUAACCAUCAAAUGGGUAUAUGAAGAGGUGUUGCAUUUGUGUAUAAAUAGAUGCACUUUGCUCAUCAUUUUCAUAAGCUUGUGUACUAUUUCUCUCUACCUUUCUCCACCUUAAAAGUAAUAAAAUUAUUAGUAUUUCUUAUUUCGUACUAGCAUAGAUGGUGAUCGAAUUAGUGCUUGUGGACCAAUACUAGAGGAACAACACUUGACGUUCUAAUCUCAUUUGGUGAUGUUACAUACCCGAUUAUGUGGAAUGCACGCAUCGAGGAAUUACUUGUAAUAUUCAUGAAGACAAGGUCCAAGAUUAUCAAGAAUGGAGAAUCAUGAUGCUUUAAGCACGGAGCCAUACUAGGAUCACAUUUAUUAUCUGCAUUUUAUUAUUUGCUUUUAAUAAAGGUGUUCAUUCGGGUAAUCAGGUCGGUUUCGGAUGGGUGUCAUUCAAUUUGGUUGUAUUUCGGAUCGGUUAUAUUUCGUAUGCGUGUUGCGACGGGUCAUACUCGAGUAGGGUCGGUUAGUCACGGUUCGAUUGAAGAUCAGUUAUUCAAGCUAUCGGGUUAGCAUCAGUUUGGUGUCGGUUGAAGUACGUGUCGAGUUUCAAUCGGUCUCGGGUUGUCAUCGGUUAAUAAUUGGUUCGAUUUUACCAGAUUUCAUGUCUAGUACCAACAACGCUUCACUUAUCAAUUUGCGUUCAAUCCUUGAGAAGGAUAAACUGAACGGGAAAAUUUUCCUUGAUUGGUAAAGGAACUUAAGAAUUGUUCUAAGGUUCGAAGGAAGAGAGAAUGUUCUCAAAACCCCUAUCCCAUCCCUAACUGUUAAUUUAACUGAUGAGGAGAAAGCAACUCAUAACGCUAUCUUUUACAGAACGGUAAUUAUUACUUAUCAUAUGUUAGCUUUCAUGGACUCAUGCCUUCAAAAGAGGUUUAAGGAAAAUGGAUGCUUACAAUAUCAUCUCGCAAUUAAAAACCAUGUUUCGAUUGCAAGCUAGAGUUGAGAGGUAUGAGACUCUUAAGGCUAUUCAUGAGUGUGAGUUAGAGGCAGGGAAGCAAGUGGGAGAACAUGUCUUCAAGAUGAUUGGUCAUUUUGCAAACAUGGAAAGACUAGGCUUUCCUUGUAGCCAAGAGUUGGCUAUUGACAUCAUACUGCAUUCUCUUCAUGGUGGGUUCAAGACUUUUAGGUUGAACUUUCACAUGAAUGGAGUUGAAAAAAGUCUUGCUGAGUUACAUGGGAUGCUCAUUACUGCUAAGCAGAAUAUCCAAGUUGAACCUAAGAAGGAAGUUCUCAUGGUUCAAAAGGGAAAAGGGUUUAAGAAGGCCGGGACUGGCAAGAAGAAGCAACAAAAGGGCAAACAAGUUGUUCUUUCCAAAGCUUCUAAUAAGCCAAAGGCUGUUGCAAAGCCAAAGGUGGCUGUGAAUAACAAAUGCUUUUAUUGGGACAAGAUCGGUCAUUGGAAGAGGAAUUUCCCCCAAGUACUUGAAUGAUAAGAAGACUGGUGCUUCUACUUCAGGGACUAACAAGGAGUAGGAAACUAGCAAAAGGAGAAGUAGAAUUAUGCGUUGCAAACAGUGCAAAAGUCUCAAAUGCAGCACGUGGAACUUAUAGUCUAGUUUUACCUUAUGGAUUCAUAUUAGUACUAAAUAAAUGUUAUUGUAACAUUUGGGAAAUUAAUAUUUUAAGACGAGUAAGUUUAAGAGAAUUAUCAGUGCGAGAAUGAUCUUAAAUACACAUGACAUGAAACAUUCUUAAUUUAAUUUCUUCCCUCUUUUCCUUUUUGUUUUAUUUUUAUUUUGAUUAAAAUACCCAAAACCCUUUCCCCAAACCCUUUAAUUCACUCAUUACCAAAAACCAUACAGCAAUUCCCCCUUUCUUCCUCUGAUUUCACGCAUCAUCCUUUCCCAUUUUCCCUUUGGGUGUUCUAAAGAUCACCAACAAUAUUCUAUUAUCCUUGAAUUUGAGUUGAACAAUUAUUCUUCUCCCUCAUUCGUUUGCCUGGAUUCUUAAAGAACAACAAACCUUAUUGCUUUUCCUUCUCUGAAUCUUGUUCGAAAAUGAAAAAUAAAAACAACCUAAUUGCCUAAUUUGAUAUUCGAAAAAAAAAUCAGUCACUCACCUUCCUUGUUUCAUACAGAAAUACAGUGAUUCCCUCCAAUUACUCACUGAUUUUCUUGAAGAACGAAACGCAGCCUUGAUUUCUUGUUGCUUGCCUGAAUUAGUGAUUACAACUCCAUAGUUUCAAUAGCGGAAUCCUAAUUUCUUGCUGCCACCAAACAGAGCUUGUUUGCAGAUCGGUACCGGUCGAGAAGGAUGGGUUAGCGAAGGUGAUUAGAGGUUCUAAGGAUGUUUAUUGAGCUGAGCACGUAGGAAUUUGUAGAUUUGUAUUAGGAUUUUGGAUAAAUGUAUAUUAGAUUUGGUUUUGUUCAUUAUAUUUGACUCAAAGUGAAUUGUAUGAUUAUCUUGUGUAUUAGUUAGAAGUUGGUUUUGGAAUUUAGCUGAGUUAGUCACGUUGAAGAGCUUGUGACCCCUUUGCUUGAGUUUUGGAAGUGUGAUUUCAGUUUCUUGGGAAACGAACCCAGUGAUGACCCUAUUUACCCAGUCAACGGUAAGUCGGGUUGUUACAGUUAUUAUGUUUCAAGUAUUAAUAAAAACAUCAUUUCUAUUCAUGAGUUGGAUAAGGAAGGAUAUUCAUUUACAAUAAAGAAUGGUUGUUUAUA